UGUUAAAAAUUUCAUCCAUUUCUACUAUUAAAACCCAGUGUAGCUGAUGGAUCACAUGUACUUAAUGCUGACAUGCAGGGACCAAUUUUUAAUAGUAGAAAUGAAUGAAAUUUUUAUUA
rfam:Gossypium raimondii Chr01_contig_9, whole genome shotgun sequence.